rnacentral:rRNA from 1 species
AGCGAACGCUAGCGGCGGGCCUAACACAUGCAAGUCGAGCGGAGGGGCAACCCUCAGCGGCGAACGGGUGAGUAACACGUAGGUAAUGUACCCUCUGGUGGGGAAUAACCGUGGGAAACCAUGGCUAAUACCGCAUAUGUCUUUCGAGAUGAAAGCAGCAAUGCGCCAGAGGAGCAGCCUGCGGCCGAUUAUUUAGUCCUAGUUGGUGAGGUAAUGGCUCACCAAGGGUACGAUCGGUAGCUGGUCUGAGAGGAUGAUCAGCCACACUGGAACUGAGACACGGUCCAGACUCCUACGGGAGGCAGCAGUGGGGAAUAUUGCGCAAU